GCACUUCCUGCGAGGCCCCUGCAGCAGCAGCGGCGUGGUCAGAGCGAGCUUCGGAGAAGCAGUGGUGGGUUCCAUGUGAUGGUGGAGUAGGAGGCAGGUCUCCGCGGUUCAUCUGUGUUGCUCUAAAUGACACUGUUUCAUUAUUUUGAUGGCUGGAGAAUAUUUCCUAGUGUAUGUAUAUGAGAGUUUCUUGAUCUCUUUAUCUGUGGAUGAACAGCUACUUUGAAACAUAUGAUACAUUUGUGUUAAGGCUAGUCACCCUGCUGUGGAAUAGAAGGCCAGAAUUGAUCAGUCUCAUCUGAGAGUAACUUUGUACCCAUCACUGAUUCCUUCUGAGACUGCCUCCACUUCCCCAGCAGCCUCUGGUUUCUUCAUGUGGCUGCAGAUGGCAGGAUUUCCCAAAGGUUUCUGGCUGAAACAUAUUCCGUGGUGUAUCUGUACAGCAGUUUCCUCAUCCCUGCAGCUGUGUUUGAACAGGAAAGAAAAAAGAAGAAAACAAACCUCCAUACGAGAAUGGGUCUAAAGGAACUUCCCAAACCUCCAUGAUUUUGCAGGAAACAAGAUAAAGGUGGUUUCCACAAGAAAAAUGGCACAAUGUUUCUCAGAAGACAAUUACAUAAGAAUCAGCAUACUUCAAAUUCACAGCAAAUAAUCAGACAAUUGAUGAAAAUACUUACCCAAACACUAAUUGUAGACUAUGCCUUCUGAAUAUGUUUGUCAUAAACUUGGAGUAAGGAAUCCUCACAGGCACUGGACAAUUCAAAAAACGUAAAGUUGUUUGUUAGAAUACUGGUGCUUUUGGGUAGAAACCCUCAUCCAUAUCCUGGUAAGGCUUGAAGUUGCACAGGAGUUUUCAUUUGUCAAAACCCAGAAAACCAUAAGCUUUAGAUUUGUGAAUUUUAUAUUGUAUUAUAUGUGACCUUUCUUUUUAAAAAAUGAGCUGUAAGCAGUCUCCCAGACAGUAGCUCAGCCUCCAGAACUCUCUUUCUGCAUAGUUGAAGACCCCUCUUCACACAAGAUGGUAGCAACAAAUCAUAGGUGCAAUUGCACCAAAUUCACAGAAGAUCAAUUGAAAAUCCUCAUCAAUACCUUCACUCAAAAACCUUACCCAGGUUAUGCUACCAAACAAAAACUUGCUUUAGCAAUCAAUGCAGAAGAGUCCAGAAUCCAGAUUUGGUUUCAGAAUCAAAGAGCUAGGCAUGGAUUCCAGAAAACACCAGAACCUGACUUUAGAUUUAAGCCACAGCCAUGGACAAGAUUAACCUGGUGUGGAGUUUCAAAAUAGAGAAGCCAGAUGGUGUUGUACCACCUAUAGCACCUUUCAAUUACACACAGUCAUCCAUGCAUUUAUGAAAAACCCAUACCCUGGGAUUGAUUCCAGAGAACAACUUGCUGAAGAAAUUGGUGCUUCAGAGUCAAGAGUCCAAAUUUGGUUCCAAAAUCGAAGAUCUAGAUUUCAUCUCCAGAGAAAAAGAGAACCUGUUAUGUCCUUAGAAUGAGAAGACCAGAGAAGACCAGGGGCAAGGUUUCUGAGGGACUUCAAGGUACAGAAGAUACACAAAGUGGCACCAGCCUCACUAGCACUCUCAUUUCUCAAGAGCCAGAACAUGGUGAAUACAAUCAAGUUCAGUGUAUUUGAUAAUAUCAAUUUGGGCCCCAAAUCUCUCUCACAGUCUUCCUGGGAGUCUAUUCUUCUUCCAAAAGUGCAAGCUAAGCCUUCUGAAGAUGGUAAAGAACUUGGCCGGGUGUGGUGGCUCAUGCCUGUAAUCCC
rnacentral:lncRNA from 1 species